AACGAACGCUGGCGGCAUGCCUAACACAUGCAAGUCGAACGAGACCUUCGGGUCUAGUGGCGCACGGGUGCGUAAGGCGUGGGAACCUGCCCUUAGGUUCGGAAUAACUCCCCGAAAGGGGUGCUAAUACCGGAUAAUGUCUUCGGACCAAAGAUUUAUCGCCUUUGGAUGGGCCCGCGUUGGAUUAGGUAGUUGGUAGGGUAAAAGCCUACCAAGGCGACGAUCCAUAGCUGGUCUGAGAGGAUGAUCAGCCACACUGGGACUGAGACACGGCCCAGACUCCUACGGGAGGCAGCAGUGGGGAAUAUUGGACAAUGGGCGAAAGCCUGAUCCAGCAAUGCCGCGUGAGUGAUGAAGGCCUUAGGGUUGUAAAGCUCUUUUACCCGGGAUGAUAAUGACAGUACCGGGAGAAUAAGCUCCGGCUAACUCCGUG
rnacentral:rRNA from 1 species